ACACACACACUAGGUAUUACACUGUGUAUACAGCACACACACACACUAGGUAUUACACUGUGUAUACAGCACACACACACACUAGGUAUUACACUGUGUAUACAGCACACACACACACUAGGUAUUACACUGUGUAUACUGCACACACACACACUAGGUAUUACACUGUGUAUACAGCACACACACACACUAGGUAUUACACUGUGUAUACAGCACACACACACACUAGGUAUUACACUGUGUAUACAGCACACACACACUAGGUAUUACACUGUGUAUACAGCACACACACACUAGGUAUUACACUGUGUAUACAGCACACACACACACUAGGUAUUACACUGUGUAUACUGCACACACACACUAGGUAUUACACUGUGUAUACAGCACACACACACACUAGGUAUUACACUGUGUAUACAGCACACACACACACUAGGUAUUACACUGUGUAUACAGCACACACACACACUAGGUAUUACACUGUGUAUACAGCACACACACACACUAGGUAUUACACUGUGUAUACUGCACACACACACACUAGGUAUUACACUGUGUAUACAGCACACACACACACUAGGUAUUACACUGUGUAUACAGCACACACACACACACUAGGUAUUACACUGUGUAUACAGCACACACACACACUAGGUAUUACACUGUGUAUACAGCACACACACACUAGGUAUUACACUGUGUAUACAGCACACACACACACUAGGUAUUACACUGUGUAUACAGCACACACACACACUAGGUAUUACACUGUGUAUACUGCACACACACACACUAGGUAUUACACUGUGUAUACAGCACACACACACUAGGUAUUACACUGUGUAUACAGCACACACACACACUAGGUAUUACACUGUGUAUACAGCACACACACACACUAGGUAUUACACUGUGUAUACAGCACACACACACACUAGGUAUUACACUGUGUAUACAGCACACACACACUAGGUAUUACACUGUGUAUACAGCACACACACACACUAGGUAUUACACUGUGUAUACAGCACACACACACACUAGGUAUUACACUGUGUAUACAGCACACACACACACUAGGUAUUACACUGUGUAUAC